UGGAGGACAUAUAUGCUUGCUAUAGUUGGUGCCAGUGGCACCCGAGCGUUGGAUGGCAGGUUUUCCGGUGGCACGCUCCCGCACAAUGGUUUCGGCGUAACACAUGCUACGGUGGCACGCUCCUGCAAAGAAUAUAGUAGUAGUACAAUUGACAUGAAAGACCACAUUUGGUGGCCAUACUGGCGCUAUGGCAGAGGCUUCAGCAGGUGAUGGCGCACCCUGACUACUCGCUCCUUGAGACGUUUUACGACAGGGAGCACCGAGCGCACCUGAUGGUCGAUGACGGCGAGGUGCUAUCACCACUUCGGAUUCGCACUCACAGCCCUCUCAGGUGGGAUGAGAGGUACGCCCCAUACAUUGGGCGUGCAGGAUUCCUACCGUUGGCUCGGUUGGUCACGACGGGGUUGCCGAUGUUCGACAAUGCAGCUCUGACUGCGCUAGUUGACCGUUGGAGGCCCAAGACACACACCUUCCAUCUCCCUUGCGGCGAGCUCACGGUCACUCUCCAGGAUGUGGAAAAAAUACUCGGGCUUCCAGUGGACGGGCAGCUUGUUUGUUAGAAUGUGCAACCCGCAGGGUGGAGAGACAUGGUCGGGCUGAUUGUUGGCAGUAGGCCACCAGAGCCUGCGCAGGACGCGAAGGACAAGAAACCUUCAGGCAUUAGCUCUGCCUGGUUGGCUCAGAAUUUCACGGAAUGUCCUGACGAUGCAGCGGAGCACGUCGUCGAGAGGUACGCCCGUGCGUGGUUGUGGCAUCUUGUUGGAGCCUACUUGUUCCCGGACGGGAGUGGGAACACAGUAUCGUGGAUGUACUUGCCGCUACUAGGAGAGGAAUGGGAGAACGUUGGCCUUUACAGUUGGGGAUCAGCCACGUUUGCAUGGCAGUACCGGCAGUUAUGUGAUGCUUGCAGGCGUAGUGGGGACCAUGCCAACCUUGGUGGAUGCGCGUACCUCUUGCAGGUGUGGAUGUGGGAGCGCCUGCCAGUUGGUAGACCCGAUCGAUUCUCCCCCGGGGUUUGGCAGUUCGAGGACGAGGGCUCGCUCCCGACCGUUGCUUUCCUUUGGAGGAACGUCCGGGCGGUGAUUGGAAACGCAGGAAGGCGCUACCUCUUCUACACUAAUGAGCUAGACUGCAUCAUGCAAAGCUACAUGAGUGCAAUUGGUUAUGAAUUUCGUAUUUCACACACUUGCAUAUGCCAAUUGACAUUUUCGUUAAUUUUCAGGUGACAUGGGAGCCAUAUGACCGACACGAGAUCCUUUCGAUGGGUCUUAGCCCUUUGUGCACACGGGACAUGGAGUAUUGGCGGUCCAUUCUCCCGCUUAUUUGCUUUUACAUUGUUGAGAUGCACUGUCCAAACCGUGUGAUGAGACAGUUCGGGAGGUUACGGCGGACGCCUCCAGACACGACACCCACAUCCGUGGCUUUGCACAAAAUUGACAGGAGGAAACAACGAGGCGCUCAAGAUUGGCGGGACGUGCACCAUAACUACUUGGUGCAGUGGAGCAACCGGGCGUAGACAAUCGUACAUGGUGGACCCACCCACCGCUCGAGUCUGUACCGCGAGUACCUGAGGUGGUUGCAUGACUCCUCCAGGUUGGCAAUCAAGCCGAGAUGAGUUGCAGCUGGAGCGGAGGAUUUGCCAGACUCUGAUGAUGAGGACGGCCUUGUAGAUGAGUACGACCAGAUCACGAGACACAACCGUCAGCCCGAGCGUGGUCCGCUUCACAACUACAUGGUAUUUGUAUUUUGGCACACCAACAUUGUAUUCGUUCAUGGUUUCUACCGUACUUUACAGAUUGCGUAGGCGUUGCAGGGAUAACAGCUCGGGCGCCUUGCUAAUGAGGCUAGGCAAGCUUUGCUUGUACCCCCCGGGUCAGCGAAAGAGGUUGGCCAACUUCGUGCUUUUGUAGAGAGGGUUCGUAGGAGCUGCCGCUGCCUUGCUUUCAAGAUGAGCUGCAUGACGACCCCGGAUGUGGAGCUUGCACAUGGUGGGCCUUCUUCAGAGCCAUCUGUUGGCCACACGGGUGCUUCAACACAGCAGCAGACGCCGGUGCAUUACGGUACCCGGACUCGCACGCGCAGCACUAGUGUGGCUCGGACGCAGUCGCAUAGUAUGACUGGAGCCGCCUCUACUUCCGUUGGGGCGGCUGCAUGAGGCAAGGCCCCACAGGAGCAAACCUCAGAGAGCGAGGAACAGAGCUCGGACGAUGGAGACCCAUCGUAUAGCGCGGAUGUGAUGGGGACCUCACACCUCGCAGGCGCCCCUCCAGCUACCCAGCCUUCACAGCCCCCACGGCGCCGCCGAGACAGGACAGACAUUGCUAGUGGCAAUGUCCUUCCAUCCAACACGGCCCGCGAAAGGAGGAAGAAGAAGCCCUACACCCCUGGGAUGUGACCGACUACAUUGUUGGCUCGGCGAGUUGCGUGUGUGUGUUUGUAAGGAGAACAUGUACUGUUAAACUCC